rnacentral:ncRNA from 1 species
CGUCCGAGGGGCGCUGCAGCAGGAUGAAACCUGUCAGGCUCGGAUGGGGCGUUUCCAGAACGCAUCAACGGCGCCCAUUCGC